AUUGAACGCUGGCGGUAUGCUUAACACAUGCAAGUCGAACGGUAGCAGGCCUUCGGGCGCUGACGAGUGGCGGACGGGUGAGUAACGCGUAGGAAUCUGCCUCAUAGUGGGGGACAACGUGGGGAAACUCACGCUAAUACCGCAUACGCCCUACGGGGGAAAGCGGGGGCUCUUCGGACCUCGCGCUAUGAGAUGAGCCUGCGUUAGAUUAGCUAGUUGGUAGGGUAAAAGCCUACCAAGGCGACGAUCUAUAGCUGGUCUGAGAGGACGAUCAGCCACACUGGGACUGAGACACGGCCCAGACUCCUACGGGAGGCAGCAGUGGGGAAUAUUGGACAAUGGGCGCAAGCCUGAUCCAGCAAUACCGCGUGUGUGAAGAAGGCCCUAGGGUUGUAAAGCACUUUCAAUUGGGAGGAAAACCUGCCGGCCAAUACCCGGCAGCUUGACAUUACCUUUAGAAGAAGCACCGGCUAACUCCGUGCCAGCCGCCGCAGUAACAC
rnacentral:rRNA from 1 species